UUCCAAAAUGUGUUUUUACAAAACAGAUCCCACGAAUGAUCUGCCUCCAGUGGCUUUAGCUCAAACAUACGGUUCUCGUUUGCUAAUAGAGCUACAUCGCGAAUCCUUGUUGUGAGAACUAUUCUACUCUUGCAAUUACUAUUCAGAAGUGCAUCUUUUAUAUUGUCCAUUACAUUAGUACUCCAAACAUCAUCCAAAAUGAGUAAAUACUUUCUACACUGCAAGUGAGUGCGGAUAGUCUCAACCAAGCUUCUAUAAUCCAGGGUAUCAUUGUUGUUAGGUGCUUUCCUUUUCUCACGACCUUCCCUACAUAACUCUUUUAAGAUCUGUCUAAGCAAAUCAUGAGUUUCGUAACUCUGAGAUACAGCAACCCAGGCACAAGCAUCAAAGGUAGCUUUGAUGAUUUUGUACACAUGAGUUACGAGAGUUGUCUUCCCUAGACCACCCAUCCCCAAUACUGAGAUUAUCAUGGGCUGUUGUUGCUGCUCAUCCUCAUCUUUUAACCAUCCAAGCAACAAGUCCCUGUACUUGUCAAUACCCACGAUGUCAUCCUCCUUGACAAAAUGUGCUAAUUCUGCACGACUCUUGCUACAGCCAACAACUAUUCGAGGUUUUGCUUCACUUUCCAUUCCUCUUGUAUCAUAUCGUGUCCUUCUCUCCAUUAUCUUUUGGAGGUCAAUUUUGAUAUCUUUAAGUUUCUUGCUAAGGUGAUGCCAAGAUUUUAUAUUUCUGUACCUCUUGAUUGCUGUCAGUAGAACCCCUCAUUGCUCCUCGCUCAGCUUAUACGUGAACUCAUCUAUAAUAUCCUCAAUGUCGAAAGCCAAGUCUCUUGUUUGUUUUAUAAUGAUUUUUGUGCUCUCAUCCUUCUCUUUUAGUCUUUCUGCGAUCCGUAGGAAGGCUUGCAUGAUCUCAAGCUCAUCCUUAAUGUCACUUAUAUCCUUCAUGAGUUCUUUCAUUGCUAACAUCCCUGUUAGUAAUAGUGAUGCUGCUGAUUUAGUUGUUUCAAUAGCUAAAGCAGCACCUAUCUUUAGGACUAAUGAGCUUAUCACAGCCUCCACCAUAGGAAUUUCCUACAAAGUGAGCCUGGAAUCAAUAAUCUUUCCAAACUACUAUGUCUUUUUAGAUGCACCGCUAGCAAAAAUAAUUAUUGUUUUAACAUUCCUAAGAUUCUAGGCAAUUCUGUAGUGUAUCAAACAAACAUUUGUUAGAAUCCCUCAGUUAAAAGGAAGAAAUGCCAGUAACAGUUUGUAGUCUGUCAUAACAAAGAACAAUAACUUGUUUGAGAUUCAAUUUAACAAAAUUUUGAGAUAAAAGAUUCAUCAUAAUUAGUCAUACUGAACUCGACCUCAAUGUAUAUUUCUAGAGCAAGUUGUGGAAAAGUCCUUUAGAGGAGUGUGAAAUCAAUAAAGAGUUGGAAACUAAAUGAAUCUACUGCUAGUCGCCGAGUUGACGAUAUCGUGUUAAGAGUGAUUAUAAAUUAUUCUACAAUUAACAAUUAUAAGUUGAGUUUGUUUUGAAGCCCUCUUCUUGUUCAUAAUUAAGUUAAUUUAUAUCAGGACUAUAAGUCAUUUGAGCAAGAAACUAUUAGUGCUUCUUCAAAUAGUUUUGUUUUGAUAGCAAUAUAAGAACUUAAUUUUAGACUCAUGAAACUCACGUAUUUCUAAUAUGUUAAAUUUUAUUGCCUCGACAUUCAUAGUUUCAUACUGCCUAUUAUUGGACCAAAAUCUAAAAGUUCUAUUUCAACUUCUGUGAUUACAAACUUUUGAGAUAAAUGAUUCAUUAUAACUAAUCAUACUGGACUCAACCUUAAUGUAUAUUUGUAGAGCAAGAUGUGGAAAAGUCCUUUAGAGGUGUAUGAAAUCAAUAUAGAGUUGGAAAGUAAAUGAAUUUGCUGCUAGUCAGUGAGUAGAGGGAAUUGUAUUAAGAGUGAUUGUAAAUUAUUCUAUAAUUAACAAUUAUAAAUCGAGUUUCUUUUGAAGCCUCUUUCUUGUUCAUAAUUAAGUUAAUAUAUAUGAGGACUAUAAAUCAUUUGAGCAAGAAACUAUAUAUUAGUGCUUCUUCAAAUAGUUUUGUUUUGAUAGCAAUAUAAGAACUUAAUUUUAGACUCACGAAACUCCCGUAUUUCUAAUAUGUUAUGUUUUAUUGCUUCGACAUUCAUACUGCCAAUUAUUGGAUCAGAAUCUAAAAGUUCUAUUUUAACUUUUUUGAUUUGUAUAAACGAAGCGGGUAGUGUGCUACCUAUCUCUCUCUCUCUCUCUCUCUCAAAANAAAAAAAAAAAAAAAAAAAAAAAAGAUUUGUACUGCAAUUUGUAAAAGUUCUUCAUUACAAGUUUUGGCAUUAACUGAAUUUUUUUUUUCGAAAUAAUUAUUAUCUUUGUGAGUUCAGCAGGAAUAUUUCUUAAAGUGAAAUGACUUUGAUACUUUUUUUUUUUGAUGAUGAGGCAUUUAAAUAAACGUCCUGUAUCGUAAAUAUGAUCUAGAAUAUUUGCAUGGUUUAGAAACUGAAUUUUUUUUUUUUUUUUGUCGUUAUUAUUUAUCUAGUGAUCGAAUGGUUUCAAAAUUGAGAGUUUAACAAGAAAAAUGGGACACUUUCUUCUUGUUUAAUAACAAAGAACAAUCAGAAUUAGCUGAGCAUUUAAUAACAAAUAAAUUCUUCUUAACUAUAUAGAUCAAGAUCUACAACCAAGAUUGCGAAUUUAAGAUUAUUUUUAAUUAUAUUUUUAGAAGGUAGCUAAUUUUGACCUUUCAUAUUAUGCCCACUUGGCUAGCCAGAAAAUAAAUUUAAAAAAUCACUUUUUCUAGAAAGUUUAUGUAUAAUCUUGCAUGGUAUUGAUCAUCAAUUUAGGUACUCAAUUAUCAACAAUAAAGUGAGAGUACUUUAUGAGGUAAAAUUAUUCUAGCUAGCUCAAUUAUUAUCGAUCUCUUGUUAUCUUGUUUCCAAAAUCAAGUGAAUCCAAACAAUAUAUUAAACAGCAAAGCUAGACAUACUAUACUAGAUCUCAGUACCUUACGGAAUCAACUAGUUGAUAGCAAAGAGAAUAAAAAUUAAUUAAAAAGAACAAGUAGAAGAAGAUGCACAACUAACCACAGAUCCAAAAGGGAGAUAUAUUGAAGAGGGAGCUGCUCCAAAAUAAUUAAUCUGAAAUUUAACUAGAGAAAAUGCUGCAAUCAAAGAAGCGCUUGAAGUAGAUGUUUUAGGGAUUGAUGAGUGAGAGAUGAGGAUGAACUAUAUACACAAGAAACUGGGAGGAAGUGACUUGGACACUGCAGCUACCAAGAACUUCCCUCUUUGACUUUUCCCAUCCGUACUUGGUUGUAGUGUGCUAUAUUAUAUGGAUUUAUAGGGGCUCCUUUUGAUUAUUUGCCUUUUACUACUAUUCAAAUUUUUUAAAUUUAUUCUAAAAUUACUAAAAUACCUAUUUAAAGUCUAAUCUCAUUAAUAAAUGGCCUUUUUGCAUAAAAAAUCAACUAGUCUCGAGAUUUUGUAAAAGUGUGCUACUAUUUUGAAUUUUACAAAUUCAACUCGAAUUUGUAGAAAACUGAUCAAAAUAUUCUUAUUCCUUUUCCUCUCUCUCUCUCUCUCUCUCUCUCUCUCUCUCUCUCACUCUCUUUUUCUCUCCAACCCUCCUCGCCUCCUCCACCGCUUCUGCGACCCUGGACGACGGUAAGAAGGACGUUGCCGCCUCCUCUUUCUCUGCCUCCGCCACCGUCUCCGCCACUGCUGGUGCCGGCACCGACACCGGCGCUGAAGGAGGAGGAAUUGGAGCAGGCGCGGGUGAGGACGGAGCAAACGAAGGCGAUGAGUUCGUGGCCGAGGUGGUGCUCGCUGUCGCACGUGAUGGUGAGAACGAAGAUGUGCCAGCGCUUCUCCAAGGAGCAAAAAAAGAUGCAGAGGGUAGAAAAAAAAAAGAAUAAAAAUAAAAAUUAAAAAAUAUAUUUUUCUUGAAGGACCAUUAUGUAUCAUCGCUACUACAGGAAAGAUAAAGAAUCAGAGAAGAAGGAAAAAAGAAUAUCAAGUUGCACUGUACUUUUUUGAAACGAAAGUUAUACUUUUUAAGCAAAGUUAUAUUGUUUAAGCGAAAAUUGUACUCUAUAGCCUCCUCGUUGUGGAGGCCUACUGCCUGAUUAUCGUUUUGAAGCGGCCCCUCCUGGCCUUCCUCCUCGCGUUCAUCCGCUCCUCCGGGGCUCCUACCCGCUCAAUCAAGGACGGGCUCAAGGCGCUCUUUGGCGUUGCACUCUACGUGCUCAACCUCUCUGUGUUGGUCAAGCUCGGCACCAUGCCCGCGCUCUUCUCCUUUGUCGUCAUUCUGCAUUCGUCGCGCUCUACCCGCUCAACUGUCCCUUGCUGGCCGAGCUCAGCGCUAUGCACGCACUUUUCUCCCAUGUCGUCAUUCUGCAUUUGUCGCACUCUACCUGCUCAACUGCCUCCCGUUGGUCAAGCUCGGCAUCGUGCCCGCGCUUUUCUCCCUCGUCGUCAUUAUGCAUUCGAAAAGUUUUAGUAUGUUGUUAUAUAAUUUUAUAUUUUGUUUUAGGGUAAAUUACACUUUUGGUCCUCAAACUAUGAGGUACGUGACAUUUUAGUUCUGAAAUUUUAAUUUAUUAUAAUUUUUGGCUCGAAUUAUGCGAUACAUUACAUUUUAGUCCUCGAACUUUAAUUAGGUAUAAUAUCUGGCUCGACCUUUAAGACUUGUGAUAUUUUAGUUCUUGAACUUGUUGAAUUAUUAUUCUCACAGCCAAAUUUUUUUAAAAAAUAAGUAUGGAUAAAUUAUUUAUAUUCAACUAAUAUAGUAUUUUAAUUGUUAUUACAUCAUCAAGGACGAUAUACUACAAUUCAGAAAGUUCGAGAACUAAAAUAUCACAUGCUUAUAAUUUAAGCUAGAAAUUAUAACUAAUUAAAAUUUGAGGACAAAAGUAUCACUGACCUUAUAGUUCGAACGACAAGUUAUAACAAAUUAAACUUUGAGGACGAAAGUGUCACGCGUCUCAUGGUUUGGAGGCGAAAAGUGUAAUUUACCGUUUGUUUUACCAUAAAAAAUUAUUAUUAAAUAGAAUAGUAAAAUAUUAUAAUUCACAAAUUAUACAAAAUGCUAAAUUUUGUAGGUCAGAUUAUGUAAAAUAUGCGCUGACGCGCUUUCGCUGCUGAGUCCUGAAAUAUUGUUAAAAUCAAAGAAUAAAAAAAGGACGCGGAGAAGACUCGCAUGACCCACGCGAGGCGUCUCCGCGUAGGGACCGAGUGAUGCUACCAGCUAUGAACAUAUACUCCCUGCACCUGGUGUACUUCUAUAUAUAUAUAUAUAUAUAUAUAUAUAUAUAUAUAUAUAUAUAUAUAUAAUAUUUGGUAAUCAAUAUUUUAAAAUUAAGAAAGGAGCUGGGAGACAAUGUACUUUAUAUCAGGGAUAGGUGGAUGGUUAUGAAAGGAUUGCAGAAUACGAGGCGUAGCCUUCGUGAAUUGGCUGCGCGCUGGUGGGUUAUUUGGAAGGCUAGAAACGAUUUGAUUUUUAAAAACAUCCAACUAGAUGCCCUAGUGGCGGUGUAUAGAUUGAAGGAGUUGCUGAAAUUCUGGAAAAUAUGUGCACAAACUUCUAGACGCUCUAUCAUCGUGUGAUUUUUUUUUUCUCUGUUACGCCCCUCUUUUGAGGCUCUGGAUGCCUCAUCCCGGUAGCCUAAUUCAUCUCUUUAAUGAAUGAGCAGGUAGCGUGCUAUCUUUUCUCCAAAAAAAAAUAUUUUAAAAUUAAGAUCUAAUAAUUUUGUUGAUAGUUAAUAGAAAUUCCGAGCACAUAGUAAUUAAUGACUUUGGAAAUUCGUAAUUUCGUGCUCAAAACUCCAAUUUCGAUAAAAUUUGGUUUAAUUAGAUGAUCGUCUCAGAGUAUAUUUUGUAUAGCAGGACUUUUCGUUUUUGAAAGUUAUGAAAAAUAUUACAUAAAAUAAUGACUUGAUUGAGAGAUGAUUGUCUUUUUCUGAAUCUCAUAGAUUUUAUCAAAGAAAUUUUAAAUCCACCAAAAAUGCACCAAGUUAACAACUAGACCUUACAAAUAAGCGCCCACGAGUAUUAAAAACCCUCGGGAGCUAAGAAAAAUAAAUUCACUAAAAUUGACUUCCUUUUGUUCAAAUAAAAAUAAAUCCAGAUCGCGCCAUUAUUACAAAAUAGAGUAAUAAAAUACGAAAUAGGCUAUUGUACUAUUCAUAGCACCAAGUUAUUGGUGUUGUUAGAAUUUCGGCAUGGCUGAAUAGAUGUAGAGUUAGAAUAAUAGUGGUCUCAAAGGGUUGAAUGGAUGGUUUGUUGAAUAGUAUGGUCUAACGGGUGAAAAUAAUCAAAUGGGUGGAUCUAACGGCGAAAAACUUGGUAGCACCAACGGAGGGGGUAAACUUGUAAUUUAAAUAAUUGCAAGAUUACCUGCCAGCAGUAAUACGAGAUACUCUCAUUUGCUAAUAUUUUCGGAGUAAUCUUAUAUCAUUUGUAAUGCUAAUUUGCCAAUUAGAUUAUAGACGGGAUAACCCAAAUAUAAUAAUCUUGACAAAAUUAUCUAUAAUUCUGACAGGAUAAUCCGAACUAGAUAGACCCUUUUUAAAUUAUGAAAGUGAUAAAUUUUGUUAAUGUUGGGAUCAAAAAAUUUUAAAAUUUAAAAUUCAAAUUGAGAAUAAAAUUUAACGCAGGCGGCGCUUGCAGGUAAGGAAAUGUAUCUUCAUCCAAUUCUGACUCAAAAAGUUCUAAUUUGGUUAGGUUUGAUAGAGACCCAAAGGAUGCGGCAAGCUCAGGGAAUGAGGUUUUGUCUAAUUUACAGUCCAGCCAUAAUUCUUUAAUUGGCAGAGGUAGGCGUAGGGUGCCCAACUGCUGUAAUUCUUGCCCAAAUACACUUUCGACAGAUAAAUUGCUAAGAUGGUUCAUCUUUGUAAGACUAUUCCACAAGUCUGCACAGUGAUGGGUUCUUACGCCGGUUAUCGCAAAUGUCCGCAACUCGGUCAAAGCUUCUACAUUCCGCACAAUCUUCCUAGUUGCUUCAAUAGAUCCUAAAGUCUGCAAGCCCUUCAAGCGCCAUAUUCCAACAGGUGCCUUGAUGCCCUGGCCAACAUAUUCUGAUAAAACUAGGUGUCCCAACUUAUGAAGCCUCGUUAUUCCCUUCAGCAGCUUUCCUAUUUCACUUUCAUCUGUAUUUAAUAUUUGCAGAUUUUGUAGCUUCCCGAUUGAUCUUGGAAGCUCCUUAAUUUUUGUUUCUCACAAACCAAGAUAAUGCAGGUUGAAGAGGUUACAGAUUUCACUCGGAACUUUCUCAAUUGGCGCUCCUUGUAGUUCCAAGACACGUAAAAAUUUUGAUGAUCUUAAGACCGACUUCAGUAAAUCAUUCCUCAUGGAAUUGUUGAAAACAAGUACUGAACGCAAAUGAGAUUUGUCUUCAGUACAAUAUUCAGUUAUAUCGCUUAGGAUUGACAAGCGUCGUGCUUUGUAUCCCUGCAAUAUUGUCCUUGAAUGCUCACAAACCAUGCAGAAACUUAACUCCUUUGACUCCGAACGAGCGAGGACUCGAAUGAUGUCAUGCAUUCGAUAUGCAUAAACUCUACCAACUUCGUUCCACUCAGCCACUUGUAGUAGACAGCGAUGAACAAGUUCGUUAAGGUAGUCCUCGGCCACUUCCUCCAUCAUUCGUUCUCUUUCUUCAAUGAACCCUUCAGCCACCCAAAGCCUUAUGAGCCUGUCACUUUCAAUUGUAUAGUCUUCCGGAAAGCUUGAACAAUAUAAGAAGCAGUUUUGAAGGUAAUGGGGAAGAUCGUCCAAACUAAGUUUCAAAAUGUCAUGUACUUUGCCAUGGAGCUUCGAUUCGUUGUUAGUUAGAUACCACUCAAGAUCUUUGUAAACCUUCUCCCAUUCAGAACUGGUUUGUUCUCGAAAUGAUAAGAGACGAGCUAUAGAUACGAUAGCAAGGGGCAAGGCACCGCACUUCUCGACAAUUCUUUUAGCACAUUGUUCUAAAGGCGGUGGGCAAAUCUUGUUUGCACUUUUCCAAAAUGCGUUUUUACAAAACAGAUCCCACGAAUCAUCUGCUUGCAGUGGCUUUAGCUCAAACAUAUGAUUCUCGUUUGCUAAUAGAGCUACAUCGCGAAUCCUUGUUGUGAGAACUAUUCUACUCUUGCUAUUACUAUUCAGAAGUGCAUUCUUUAUAUUGUCCAGUACAUCAGUACUCCAAACAUCAUCUAGAAUGAG
rnacentral:lncRNA from 1 species